CGGACGGGUGAGUAACGCGUGGACAACCUACCCGCACUGGGGGACAACAGCCGGAAACGGCUGCUAAUACCGCAUAUGCGCACAGCCCCACAUGGGGCGGUGCGGAAAGCCUUGUGCGGUGCGGGAUGGGUCCGCGUCUGAUUAGCUGGUUGGCGGGGUAACGGCCCACCAAGGCGACGAUCAGUAGCCGGCCUGAGAGGGUGGACGGCCACAUUGGGACUGAGACACGGCCCAGACUCCUACGGAAGGCAGCAG
rnacentral:rRNA from 1 species